AAAAAAAAAAGGAAAAAGAAAAAAGGAGAGAGAAGGGAAGGAAGGGAAUUGUUGGAGGGCGAGGGUUUCCCCGCGGUCUGGGGGCAGAGAUGUGGUGGCUGAGGAGCGCUACCGGAGGAGCCCGGGAUCCCCGAGGUGCAUCAGUCCCGAAAUAAGGGAGAGCAGCAGCAUCGCUCCCGGCCACCAAAGGUACACUCGUUUCGGUCAAUAGCAUUUUUUUCCCCCACUUCCCCUCGGUGUUUGCUAAAGGGCGCGGAGCUGCGUGCGAGUCCCACAGCCGGAGGAGAAAGGAAACGCGAAGAGCUUCUUCCAGCGGACGCUGCUCCCCUUCCCCUCCAUCCUGCGGGGUGAGGAACGGAGGGGCUCGGAGAGCGGCGGGGGGGAGGGUGGGAGGAAUCGCUAUUUUCCUUGAAGAACAAUUCAGGACAAUUAUUAUUAAUGCACGCAGCCGGCACCUGCGCGGCUCUCUGCCCGCUUCCCGAAUGGGACUUUUACUGCCCGUAAGCGGCGAACCAGGGCCGGUAAUAGGAUCAGGAAGGGAGGCGUUAGGCGGAAUGCCGCUGCGGCACUACUCGUAAAGGCGCGCUCCCGACAAACGCCUUCGGCCGAGAGGCUGUAAACGUUUUACGGGUAAUGAGAAAGGCAAGGGUUUGGCACGAAGGGGCGGGAAGGGUCGCACCACCUUUUGCUGGACGGGGCCGUGCUCGUUGCUGAAUGCUGGCGUGGGGGCUUCGGCCCGCCGAACGACCACGGAAAGCAAACCAGUAACUUUUACAGAGGAAAGUAAAAUAUUUCAAGUCAAGAACUCCUCUAGUAGCUGAAAAUUAACUUCUGACAACACGCGAGAUUUUCCCUCCCCGCCAUAUCAAAGAAACGUCUGUACGUUAAUUUCACCCUGAAAGAUUUGAGAAAUAACAGCGCCUCAGGGCAAAUUUUCAGCUUCAGAAGGACCCUUUGAGUCGAAGUAGGCGCAGAGAGUACGCCCAAAGCCGCGCAAUACAGCCUCAUUGAUUUUGCUGCGGUGUUCGCACGCCCGGGGAGUACAGAAGCGCAGAUCCCUGAGUUCUUCUGACGAGAUUUUAAUUAGGAAAUGGAAUUCCCCGCUCUGGAGCUGUGCCUUCGUGUAGAUGAGGCAUGACGGCUGGGAGCUUUGCCGAG
ensembl:lncRNA